GCGGGCGUAGUUCAGAGGCAGAACGCAAGCUUCCCAAGCUUGAUGUCGCCGGUUCGACUCCGGUCGCCCGCUCCA
rnacentral:tRNA from 1 species